UCCGGCUUGUCGCCGGCGGUCCCUCUAGAGUGCCCAACUGAAUGAUGGCAACUAAAGGCGAGGGUUGCGCUCGUUGCGGGACUUAACCCAACAUCUCACGACACGAGCUGACGACAGCCAUGCAGCACCUGUCUCUGCGUCCCUUGCGGGAAAACCUCCGUUACGAGGCGGUCGCAGGAUGUCAAACCCUGGUAAGGUUCUGCGCGUUGCCUCGAAUUAAACCACACGCUCCGCUGCUUGUGCGGGCCCCCGCCUAUUCCUUUGAGUUUCAGCCUUGCGGCCGUACUCCCCAGGCGGGGUACUUCAUGCGUUAGCGUCGGCACCCAGGGGGUCGCUCCCCCAAACACCUAGUACCCAUCGUUUACGGCGUGGACUAC
rnacentral:misc_RNA from 1 species